CUAAUACAUGCAAGUCGAACGAACUCUGGUAUUGAUUGGUGCUUGCAUCAUGAUUUACAUUUGAGUGAGUGGCGAACUGGUGAGUAACACGUGGGAAACCUGCCCAGAAGCGGGGGAUAACACCUGGAAACAGAUGCUAAUACCGCAUAACAACUUGGACCGCAUGGUCCGAGCUUGAAAGAUGGCUUCGGCUAUCACUUCUGGAUGGUCCCGCGGCGUAUUAGCUAGAUGGUGGGGUAACGGCUCACCAUGGCAAUGAUACGUAGCCGACCUGAGAGGGUAAUCGGCCACAUUGGGACUGAGACACGGCCCAAACUCCUACGGGAGGCAGCAGUAGGGAAUCUUCCACAAUGGACGAAAGUCUGAUGGAGCAACGCCGCGUGAGUGAAGAAGGGUUUCGGCUCGUAAAACUCUGUUGUUAAAGAAGAACAUAUCUGAGAGUAACUGUUCAGGUAUUGACGGUAUUUAACCAGAAAGCCACGGCUAACUACGUGCCAGCAGCCGCGGUAAUACGUAGGUGGCAAGCGUUGUCCGGAUUUAUUGGGCGUAAAGCGAGCGCAGGCGGUUUCUUAAGUCUGAUGUGAAAGCCUUCGGCUUAACCGAAGAAGUGCAUCGGAAACUAGGAGACUUGAGUGCAGAAGAGGACAGUGGAACUCCAUGUGUAGCGGUGAAAUGCGUAGAUAUAUGGAAGAACACCAGUGGCGAAGGCGGCUGUCUGGUCUGUAACUGACGC
rnacentral:rRNA from 1 species